rnacentral:tRNA from 1 species
GCGGCUGAGGUGUUAUGACAGCACGCCGGUUUUGUAAUCCGGAAGCCUGGGUUUGACUCCCAGUGGCCGCUCCA